AUCUUCACGAUGUCAUGUGCUGUUAGCACUUAUUGAUUUGUAUUUAGAACCGCUAACUUGAAUAAUAACCCGCGGCAGCAAUAACUAAAACACUGUCUCAC